UGGGGAAUAUUGCACAAUGGAGGAAACUCUGAUGCAGCGACGCCGCGUGAAGGAAGAAGGUCUUCGGAUUGUAAACUUCUGUUGUCAGGGACGAUAAUGACGGUACCUGACGAGAAAGCCACGGCUAACUACGUGCCAGCAGCCGCGGUAAAACGUAGGUGGCAAGCGUUGUCCGGAAUUACUGGGUGUAAAGGGAGCGCAGGCGGAUUGACAAGUUGGAGGUGAAAUUCAUGGGCUCAACCCAUGACCUGCCUUCAAAACUGUCAAUCUUGAGUGGUGUAGAGGUAGGCGGAAUUCCCGGUGUAGCGGUGGAAUGCGUAGAUAUCGGGAGGAACACCAGUGGCGAAGGCGGCCUACUGGGCACUAACUGACGCUGAGGCUCGAAAGCAUGGGUAGCAAACA
rnacentral:rRNA from 1 species